GUGGGGAAUAUUGGACAAUGGGCGAAAGCCUGAUCCAGUCGUGCCGCGUGUGUGAAGAAGGUCUUCGGAUUGUAAAGCACUUUAAGUUGGGAGGAAGGGCAGUAAGUUAAUACCUUGCUGUUUUGACGUUACCGACAGAAUAAGCACCGGCUAACUUCGUGCCAGCAGCCGCGGUAAUACGAAGGGUGCAAGCGUUAAUCGGAAUUACUGGGCGUAAAGCGCGCGUAGGUGGUUUUGUAAGUUGGAGGUGAAAUCCCCGGGCUCAACCUGGGAACUGCCUCCAAAACUGCAUGACUAGAGUACGGUAGAGGGUAGUGGAAUUUCCUGUGUAGCGGUGAAAUGCGUAGAUAUAGGAAGGAACACCAGUGGCGAAGGCGACUACCUGGACUGAUACUGACACUGAGGUGCGAAAGCGUGGGGAGCAAACAGGAUUAGAAACCCCGGUAGUCC
rnacentral:rRNA from 1 species